rnacentral:rRNA from 1 species
GAUGAACGCUAGCUACAGGCUUAACACAUGCAAGUCGAGGGACCGGCGCACGUGUGAGUAACACGUAUCCAACCUGCCCUUUACUGGGGGAUAGCCUUUCGAAAGAAAGAUUAAUACCCGAUAUAAAGGGUGGGGAUGCGUUCCAUUAGGUUGUUGGUGAGGUAACGGCUCACCAAGCCUUCGAUGGAUCGGGGUUCGGAGAGGAAGGUCCCCCACAUUGGAACUGAGACACGGUCCAAACUCCUACGGGAGGCAGCAGUGAGGAAUAUUGGGAAAUGGGCGCUAGUCUGACCCAGCCAAGUAGAGUGAAGGAUGAAGGCUUAUGGGUGUUAUAUUUCUUUUAUAUAAGAAUAUGUAUUAUAUGAAUAAGGAUCGGCUAACUCCGUGCCAGCAGCCGCGGUAAUAC